rnacentral:rRNA from 1 species
AUUGAACGCUGGCGGCAGGCUUAACACAUGCAAGUCGAGCGGAGUUUUGGUGCUUGCACCAAGACUUAGCGGCGGACGGGUGAGUAAUGCUUAGGAAUCUGCCUAUUAGUGGGGGACAACAUUCCGAAAGGAAUGCUAAUACCGCAUACGCCCUACGGGGGAAAGCAGGGGAUCUUCGGACCUUGCGCUAAUAGAUGAGCCUAAGUCGGAUUAGCUAGUUGGUGGGGUAAAGGCCUACCAAGGCGACGAUCUGUAGCGGGUCUGAGAGGAUGAUCCGCCACACUGGGACUGAGACACGGCCCAGACUCCUACGGGAGGCAGCAGUGGGGAAUAUUGGACAAUGGGCGGAAGCCUGAUCCAGCCAUGCCGCGUGUGUGAAGAAGGCCUUUUGGUUGUAAAGCACUUUAAGCGAGGAGGAGGCUACUAGUAUUAAUACUACUGGAUAGUGGACGCUACUCGCAGAAUAAGCACCGGCUAACUCUGUGCCAGCCGCCGCCGUAAUAC